rfam:Nicotiana attenuata strain TT chromosome 1, whole genome shotgun sequence.
CAAAUGGUUUUGAACAAAACCACCAAUAAUAAAAAUAAAAAUUCUU